CAACAUUUGUUCGUUGUUUUACCAUUAUGAUGACAGAGGGCGCGCGCUACAUCGAAUCUUUUGGGAAACAGACUAUAGAAUCAAUCGGAUCACGCGCUCGUCCUUUUCCGUAACCGGUAAGAAGACUCGGACGUGGAUCGGCGCAAGAAUAGCAUCAAAUCGAUGCAUUUCUUCGCCGGAAGCGUGACUGUGGAUGAGGUUAAAAGGCCAAAACCGAAUCCCUGAAUAAUGUGUUAUUUAUAUUUUCACCACAGAUUCUGUUUUGGUAUCAUUAACGUCUUAUUCACUCUAAUACAUGAACAUGUAAGUGGAAAUUAAUAGUGGUACAAUACCUUAGAUGUGUAUAAUAUCUUAUAUGCAUUUGAAAGCUCACGUUUCAAAGUGUAACGUACGACUGUGGCGUCAUAGUUACGUUUCUGUAUACGUAGCAACCAACUCUGAUGGCGUAGAUCCACAUACGAGGUUCAUUUGCGGUUACGGAAAUAGCCGAGCAGUUACGAUUGACUAUAGAAUCAUAUUGGAGGACCAGUUUAUGUGACAUUCCCUCGGAACUAUUAUUUUCCCGGCCUUUCGAAGUCCGAGACAUUUCAGGAACUUACCGGAACCUAUGGGAUGUAUGCGACCACAAGCAGCACCAACCAAAGGAUCUUUUUUCAUCCGAUCAAUCAAACGGGCAACGGCCUCAGGAUUGAAAUCGACGUCACCGUCUAACGCCAGUACAAAGAUGUACAAAGUCAGUAGACAGCAUGAAACAAAUCCAGUGCAUCCUGAAGCAAUCAGCAGCCAUAUUUCAUCUGUGGACGUUCCUUCUAACUUCCACAAGGGUUGGACUAUAUUGCAGUCUUGUGCCGUCCAGUCCAGA